AGAGUUUGAUCCUGGCUCAGGAUGAACGCUAGCGACAGGCUUAACACAUGCAAGUCGAGGGGCAGCGGGGCGCAGCAAUGCGCCUGCCGGCGACCGGCGCACGGGUGAGUAACACGUAUGCAACCUGCCCGCCGCAGGGGUAUAACCGGGGGAAACCCCGACUAAUCCCGCAUGACACCCCGUGGAGGCAUCUCCUCGGGGUCAAAGGAGCGAUUCGGCGGCGGAUGGGCAUGCGUCGCAUUAGCUAGUCGGCGGGGUAACGGCCCACCGAGGCGACGAUGCGUAGGGGUUCUGAGAGGAAGGCCCCCCACACUGGUACUGAGACACGGACCAGACUCCUACGGGAGGCAGCAGUGAGGAAUAUUGGUCAAUGGGCGGAAGCCUGAACCAGCCAAGUCGCGUGAGGGAAGAAGGCCCUGCGGGUCGCAGACCUCUUUGGACGGGGAGCAAGGCCGCCGACGUGUCGGCGGAAGGAGAGUACCCGUAGAACAAGCAUCGGCUAACUCCGUG
rnacentral:rRNA from 1 species